rnacentral:lncRNA from 1 species
GGCAACUAUAGCUUAUUUCUGUGUAUUAGCAGGUUUAUUUUCAGAGUUAUAGAAGUCCUCAUGUAAAAGCUCUCAAGUUAUUAUAAUUUCAGGGACAAAUAUUAAGUACAUAAGAAAACCUCUCAGAUAUUAUAGGCUUUGAUUGCAGUGUGAAUGGCUGACUUGAAACUGACAUCAACUACUUCUUGGGGAAGACAGCUCAACACAAAAAGGAUGUUUGUGAUCUGGAACUGAAUCUUCAAUAUCUCCAAGCAGGUAGAGCAUGGUUAAAUAAUGAGCUAUUCCCAGGUGGCACAUCAGCAAGGGUUGCACACUCAAGAUGAGUUUGAUGCUGAUUUCCAUUAUAUUCCACAGACCUCAACACAGGUGGCCGUUCUUCCUCUUCCUAAGUCAGAAAAUUUGUUCC